UGGGACGUGGCCGAGUGGCAAGGCAACGGGUUUUGGGCCCGAUAUUCGAAGAUUCGAUCCCUUUCGUCCCAG
rnacentral:tRNA from 4 species